rnacentral:rRNA from 1 species
AUGAACGCUGGCGGCGUGCCUAAUACAUGCAAGUCGAGCGAACAGAUGAGGAGCUUGCUCCUCUGACGUUAGCGGCGGACGGGUGAGUAACACGUGGAUAACCUACCUAUAAGACUGGGAUAACUUCGGGAAACCGGAGCUAAUACCGGAUAAUAUAUUGAACCGCAUGGUUCAAUAGUGAAAGACGGUUUUGCUGUCACUUAUAGAUGGAUCCGCGCCGCAUUAGCUAGUUGGUAAGGUAACGGCUUACCAAGGCAACGAUGCGUAGCCGACCUGAGAGGGUGAUCGGCCUCACUGGAACUGAGACACGGUCCAGACUCCUACGGGAGGCAGCAGUAGGGAAUCUUCCGCAAUGGGCGAAAGCCUGACGGAGCAACGCCGCGUGAGUGAUGAAGGUCUUCGGAUCGUAAAACUCUGUUAUUAGGGAAGAACAAAUGUGUAAGUAACUAUGCACGUCUUGACGGUACCUAAUCAGAAAGCCACGGCUAACUACGUG